UAUGAUCCAGAGUACCACGGGACACGUGAAACCCUGUGGGAAGCAGGAGGGACCACCCUCCAAGGCUAAAUACUACCUAGUGACCGAUAGCGUAUAGUACCGUGAGGGAAAGGAGAAAAGAACCCCGGGAGGGGAGUGAAAUAGAACCUGAAACCCUGCACUUACAAGCUGUGGAAGCACAUUUCUUGUGUGACCGCGUACUUUUUGUAGAACGGGCCAACGAGUUACGUUAAAUAGCGAG
rnacentral:rRNA from 1 species